CCACUAGAAGCUCAGUCUGGUUCGAGCACUCGGCUGAUAACCGAGCGGUCAUUGGUUCAAAUCCAAUCUAGUGGACCA
rnacentral:tRNA from 1 species